UCAGUUUAAAAUAGAAAUUUUGUUCUAGAAGUUGUUAUUUUUUGCUAUGAAACACAUCACCAUAAUGCACUUUAUUAAAUAACAUUAUGGUUAAAUGGCCAAUUCAAGUAUAUUUUUCUGAAAUUCCUUAUAAAGUCUAAAAAUGUCUCUACCCUGGCCUGUCCUCUUGCCAACUUCAGUUUAAUUUGAAUACGAUACAUUACUUCUUUAUAUCAGUUGCUAAACUAAAAUAUGUUAAACACGAACUUCAUUAAAUAUAUUUAAUUAUUAUUAAUAAAAAAUUCAACAAUAUUUAUUUAUUUCCAAUAAUUUUUAAAUUUAAAGUUUGUCCCACUUUGUUUUGUGUAUCUACCCUGGCAAAUUUCAUUCAGCUACUAAAAACAUAAUAUAAAACAGAUAUAUUCGAAAUAGUGCUCAAGAUUAUCUAUCGAUGUGUAGUUAGCAAUACAAAACACACGAGCCAUGAGAGAGACAAGAAUCUACAGGUCGAGCAAGUCUCGUAAAUUUCACGAUUGCGAGCCACGCUUCACGCAACCGUGUUUGCGUACUUGUGUUUCGAGUUGCGUGGUCGUGCGGAGUUAUAUUUACCAAAUUUAAAUCCGUUCCAACAUGCUGUCAAAAUUAAAUCAAUAUGUCAAUAUGGCUACUUGGUGUAAAAGAUAAAUCUUAUUCUAUCUGUUCUUAAUGAGUUUUAGAUAAUUUUAGUUGUAUUUCUUUGUAAUUUUGUGUUGUACAAAGAUUAAUUUAACAUUUUCUCUGGAAGUAUUAAUUUAGAAAGAUAAUAUGCUUCAUUGGUGUUGUGUUUUGAAGUGUGAAAUGCAAAGUAAUUGUGAUAAAGUCAAGAUAAAGUUCACUUUUAAACUGAACUAAAUAAGGUAUCUGAGAGACAACAAUGGUUAUUAAAUGCAAUACAAUGUACAGGUUUUACUAGCGAAAUGAAAAUUUUCCUGUCCUGUCUGCUGUAAUCAUUUUAUAUCUGGUAAGUUACAAUUACAACAGUAACGAUUUUUGAAGAUGUUAACAUUUUAAUCUUAUAGGAAAACCAGCCGACUUAAUCGAUAAUAACAAUCUCCAGAUUGGGUUCCUUCAAUAAAUAUGGGCUAUAAACACAAUGAAAUAAGUUCCCCAAAAUCUAAAAUGGAGUGGUAUCAAAGGAGAAUUAAAGGAAAAAAUAUUCAUAUUGAAAUUAUUUAUAAGGCACUGGACUGUCUUAAAUUCUACAAUAAUACUAGAAUCAGCUGAGAGAAGUGGUCUACAAAAAACCAGGAAGGAAACGGAAUAUGUGGCUACGAAAGGCAAAAGAAAGGUUUACAAAGCAAAUGUGACACAUUUUUUUGAAAUAUUUAGGAAUAUCAGUAAAUUGCAUUAAAAAAAUGUAUGAAAAGAUUUUGUUCAAUAAAAAUGUUUAUAUUUA